rnacentral:rRNA from 1 species
GACGUAGGUGGCAAGCGUUGUCCGGAGUUAUUGGGCGUAAAGCGCGCGCAGGCGGUUCGCUAAGUCAGACGUGAAAUCCCUCGGCUUAACCGGGGAACUGCGUCUGAUACUGGAUGGCUAGAGUUUGGGAGAGGGAUGCGGAAUUCCAGGUGUAGCGGUGAAAUGCGUAGAUAUCUGGAGGAACACCGGUGGCGAAGGCGGCAUCCUGGACCAUGACUGACGCUGAGGAGCGAAAGCCAGGGGAGCAAACGGG